UUCUGUGACUUCAUAAAGAGUCCGUGGCAGGAGGGCAGUUGGUUCAUUUCCAUUACUGAGUACUAUUCAACAAAAUCUGAAGGACAGCUGCUAAAUCUUAUUUAUUUCCAUGGACACAUUACGACUGCAACUUUAGGAAUAUAUCAGGGAACUAAGGAACAUCAGUUCUGCAAACAAAUCCCACACAGACAGGUACAGUUUAGGCUAAUGAGCCAACUCCAGACACAUACCUGUUGUAAAAGCAUCUAUAAUCAAUGUCUCAGUUGCAGGUCAGCAAAUAUGACAAAUGAAUCAAGAAACCAAGAAAAAAAAAAACAGCACCAGUUUCUGCAGCAGAGAACAGCGGACUAAACACUUCUGCAGAUGUGACUAAGGCAAGAUACAACCAGCUCUGAUUCUCCCAUAGACUGCUUUUGAAUUGCAUUAUUUUUCUCGGGAGAAGACAAGUUUUAGCUGCUGAACCUACUUCUGAAAGAAGAGCAUGGAGGAUCUUUUCAUCACAGAGACAAUGCAAUUUUAAAAUUAUACACUUAAACAAAAGCAAACAAAAAAUUACUUCUCAAAAAUCUUAGCAGUAGAGGAAGAUU
rnacentral:lncRNA from 1 species